rnacentral:misc_RNA from 1 species
AUUUAUGUUACAGCCUGGAAGA